rfam:Yersinia enterocolitica strain A127/90 plasmid pYVa127/90, complete sequence.
AAGCCCCCGAAUCUCUAUUCACAAUCUUGGCGGAUGGGUUUAGAGAGAAUCAGGGGCUCAAAUACUGGCUGCUGCCAGCAAGGAUUAUAACGCAUGUACAAUCCAAAUCAAGCCUUCCGACCCGCCAU